rnacentral:rRNA from 1 species
UACGUAGGGAGCAAGCGUUGUCCGGAAUCAUUGGGCGUAAAGCGCGCGUAGGCGGCCCUGUAAGUCCGCUGUGAAAGUCAAAGGCUCAACCUUUGAAAGCCGGUGGAUACUGCAGGGCUAGAGUCCGGAAGAGGCGAGUGGAAUUCCUGGUGUAGCGGUGGAAUGCGCAGAUAUCAGGAGGAACACCUAUAGCGAAGGCAGCUUGCUGGGACGUUACUGACGCUAAGGCGCGAAAGCGUGGGGAGCGAACAGG